UUUCAUCUACAACUGAUCGUACAAUUAGUUUAGUCAAAGAAGCUGUUCCCUUUCAGAUUGUAAAAAGGAUUUUGGAUACUGAGGACCAAGCGAUCCUAAGGUUUCCAAGACCUAAUAUAAUAAGCAGGGAUGACAAUGCGUGGAUGAAAGACGAAGAGUUUGCCCGUCAAACACUCUCAGGAGUCAAUCCCAUGAUGAUCGAACGUGUACGAAGAUUCCCCAUUUUUAGCAAUUUGAAUGCACAAAUUUAUGAUCCACAGAAGAGUUCCAUCAAUGCUCAACAGUUACAUCCAUACUUAGAUGGCUUCUCGGUGGAAGUCUAGAAGAGG